rnacentral:rRNA from 1 species
UACGGAGGGUGCAAGCGUUAAUCGGAAUUACUGGGCGUAAAGCGCGCGUAGGUGGUUCGUUAAGUCCGUUGUGAAAGCCCCGAGCUCAACUUGGGAAUUGCAGUGGAUACUGGCGGGCUGGAGUGCGGUAGAGGAAGGUGGAAUUCCCGGUGUAGCGGUGAAAUGCGUAGAGAUCGGGAGGAACACCAGUGGCGAAGGCGGCCUUCUGGACCAGCACUGACGCUCAAGCGCGAAAGCGUGGGGAGCAAACAGG